rnacentral:rRNA from 1 species
GACGAACGCUGGCGGCGUGCUUAACACAUGCAAGUCGAGCGGAAAGGCCACUUCGGUGGUACUCGAGCGGCGAACGGGUGAGUAACACGUGAGUAAUCUGCCCCUCACUUUGGGAUAGCCACCGGAAACGGUGAUUAAUACCGGAUAUGACCAUAUGUCGCAUGGCGUGUGGUGGAAAGUUUUUCGGUGAGGGAUGUGCUCGCGGCCUAUCAGCUUGAUGGUGAGGUAAUGGCUCACCAUGGCUUCGACGGGUAGCCGGCCUGAGAGGGUGACCGGUCACACUGGGACUGAGACACGGCCCAGACUCCUACGGGAGGCAGCAGUGGGGAAUAUUGGACAAUGGGCGGAAGCCUGAUCCAGCAACGCCGCGUGAGGGAUGACAGCCUUCGGGUUGUAAACCUCUUUCAGUACCGACGAAGCGCAAGUGACGGUAGGUACAGAAGAAGCACCGGCCAACUACGUG